rnacentral:rRNA from 1 species
GCUGAUCAGCUAGCCAAGCAUGUAUAGGACCCCCUAACUACAAACUGGGCCUAGCACAAACCUAAAAAGCAUAAACAAACCAUUUUUCCAUCACAGUACGGGAGACAGAAAAGAAGAUUUUGAGCAACAGAAAAAGUACCGCAAGGGAAAGCUGAAAGAGAAAUGAAAUAACUCAUUUAAGCGCCAAGAAACAGAGAUUUAACCUCGUACCUUUUGCAUCAUGAUUCAGCCAGUAAACUCACGCAAAGAGAACUUUAGUCUGAGCCCCCGAAACUAGACGAGCUACUUCGAGACAGCCUAUUAUAGGGCCAACCCGUCUCUGUAGCAAAAGAGUGGGACGAACUCCAAGUAGAGGUGACAAACCUAUCGAGCCUAGUUAUAGCUGGUUGCUUAAGAAAUGAAUAGAAGUUCAGCCCCCCGGCUUCUUAAACCCCCAAAGUCCCACUGAUUUUGGUUACAGAAACCAGCGGAGUUAGUCAAAGGGGGUACAGCCCCUUUGAACCAGGACACAACCUUCCCAGGCGGUUAAGGAACACAGAAAUUAAGGUAAACUGUUUCAGUGGGCCUAAAAGCAGCCACCUGAGAAGAAAGCGUUAAAGCUCAGACAGCUUAAAUCCACUUAUUUUGUUAAACUCUCCCACCCCCUGCCAUCUACUAAGCCCUUCCAUGCCCCCAUGGAAGAGACUAUGCUGAAAUUAGUAAUAAGAGGGGCCCGCCCCUCUCCCUGCACACGUGUAUAUCGGAUCGGACCCCCCACCGAUAAUCAACGAACCCAUCCCAAGAGGGAAAUUCGGACUAAACCAAAAACAGGAAAACCCCGAGUGCCUUAUCGUUAACCCCACACAGCAGUGCCCUGGAGAAAGACCUAAAGGAAGAGAAGGAACUCGGCAAACACAAGCCUCGCCUGUUUACCAAAAACAUCGCCUCUUGUUUAACUAAAUAUAAGAGGUCCCGCCUGCCCUGUGACCACAUGUUUAACGGCCGCGGUACUCUGACCGUGCGAAGGUAGCGAAAUCACUUGUCUCUUAAAUGGAGACCUGUAUGAAUGGCACGACGAGGGCUUAGCUGUCUCCUUUUCCUAGUCAAUGAAAUUGAUCUCCCCGUGCAGAAGCGGGGUUGCCACCAUAAGACGAGAAGACCCUAUGGAGCUUUAGACACCAGGCAGCCCAUACCAAACGAACCUGCUUUACCAGAAAGAACCCUAUGGCCCCUCGCCUACUUGUCUUUGGUUGGGGCGACCGCGGAGGAAAAAAUAGCCUCCAUGAAGACUGAGAGCACCGCUCUCACAAGCAAGACCCACCGCUCUAAACAACAGAACUUCUGACCAAGUGACCCGGCCUGCGCCGAUUAACGGACCCAGUUACCCUAGGGAUAACAGCGCAAUCCUCUCUCAGAGUCCCUAUCGACGAGCGGGUUUACGACCUCGAUGUUGGAUCAGGACAUCCUAAUGGUGCAGCCGCUAUUAAGGGUUCGUUUGUUCAACGAUUAACAGUCCUACGUGAUCUGAGUUCAGACCGGAGUAAUCCAGGUCGGUUUCUAUCUAUGAACCAAUCCCUCCCAGUACGAAAGGACCGGAGAGAAGGGGCCCAUGCCCGCAGCACGCCCUUCCCCCAACCAAUGAAGACAACUAAAAUGGCAAGGGGGCACACCCAGGUUUCGCCUAAGAAAACGGCUU